GAGGAAUUUUUAGGCUGCUAAUUAUGUUGAAUUCCCCUAUGCUGAAGUCAUCCAUAUCAAAUUUACCACUCAUCACCGGGUUUAUAGCAAAAGAUUACAGGAAUAGUGUUAGCUAGAGAACAAUCAGCAUGUAAUAGUAAUAAAACUACAAUAGUAAUUAUCAUCUCUCCAUCUCUUCUCAGCAGGCACUUUUUCAGCAGGUGCAUCAUGUACCCUGAUCAAUGGCGGCAAAGUGCUCCUAUACCUGUACAUAUCACCAUAUUGUAUUUGAUCUCCAUAAUAGGUUCGGCAAUAGCGGAUGUAUUAGUUUACUCAACACUAAAUCGUUCUUAUGAGGAUGUAGACUUUCGCGAUGCCCCAUCGAGGUUUGGUGGGUCAAUACCCUUCUUUGAUGGCAUUGAGGGUUUUGUUGUAUAUGCCAACCCACCAAAUGCAUGCCAAAAAAUAAUGGGACCUCCACAAUAUUGGGAUAACUACACAGGAAAUGGUUCGUGUUAA
rnacentral:lncRNA from 1 species